rnacentral:lncRNA from 13 species
UAACUGUGGUCCCAUCAGGGUCCUGGCUGCUGCAGAGAUAACUCUGGUCCCAUCGCAUCACACAUCACUUCACACAUAACGACGAUCACAAAUGGCACCCUACUAGUAGUGCACUAUGUAGGAAAUAAGGUGCCAUUUCAGACGCAUAAACAGACAUGCUUCUGUGAACCCCGACCCUAGAGCUCUGAACCAAUCCUCUCCUCCUCCCCCUCUCCCUCUUUUCCCCACCAGAUUCUAAAAAUACAUACUUUGGACAGCAGCUGUCUGUCUGUCUCCCUGCCUCCCUGGAGCACCUUCAAUUACAUUUUGGGCAAAAAGGCAAACUCAGCUCCAUCAUUCAUUGAAUCAGAUGGCUGAUUAAUCACAAAACCCACUAAUAUUGCCAACUACUUUAAGCAAACCAAGACAGUCGUGAAGAGGGCACGACAAAAUCUAUUCCCCCUCAGGAGACUGAAAAGAUUUGGCAUGGGUCCCCAGAUCCUCAAAAAGGUUUUACAGAUGCACCAGAGAGCAUCCUGAC